CGUCCUUUGACAAAUGUACGAAAGGCAGAAUCCCAGCGGCUAACAAGCGAAGUUUCUCGGUGCAUGGACUUUCUAAAAAGGAUUGACUAACUGCUAAAAUUUACCCGCAUGUUUGAUUGACAAAUGGCGAAAUAUCUAAUAUUGGUGAAUGACAAACGAUAAAACAAACAUGGUAAAAAUACAUCACGCUGACCGCUAACAGUUACCAGUCCCUACAACGAAGUAACUUCACAUUAAAACGACCUCGCAACAAACCAAUUAAUAUAGUUGCUCCGUGAGUGCACAUGCACAAUUGUAGGAUAAAUUAUUUACGAACCUCGCCAGGUAAAGAUGGCAAUAAAUGUACAGCAAAACAUUGUUAAGGAAAUUGCAAAGUUAGUUAAAGAGAAUUGGC